AAACCAACCGGGAUUGCCUUAGUAACGGCGAGUGAAGCGGCAAAAAGCUCAAAUUUGAAAUCUGGUACCUUCGGUGCCCGAGUUGUAAUUUGGAGAGGGCAACUUUGGGGCCGUUCCUUGUCUAUGUUCCUUGGAGCAGGACGUCAUAGAGGGUGAGAAUCCCGUGUGGCGAGGAGUGCGGUUCUUUGUAAAGUGCCUUCGAAGAGUCGAGUUGUUUGGGAAUGCAGCUCUAAGUGGGUGGUAAAUUCCAUCUAAAGCUAAAUAUUGGCGAGAGACCGAUAGCGAACAAGUACAGUGAUGGAAAGAUGAAAAGAACUUUGAAAAGAGAGUGAAAAAGUACGUGAAAUUGUUGAAAGGGAAGGGCAUUUGAUCAGACAUGGUGUUUUGUGCCCUCUGCUCCUUGUGGGUAGGGGAAUCUCGCAUUUCACUGGGCCAGCAUCAGUUUUGGUGGCAGGAUAAAUCCAUAGGAAUGUAGCUUGCCUCGGUAAGUAUUAUAGCCUGUGGGAAUACUGCC
rnacentral:rRNA from 1 species